GCCUCCCCUCCGUCCCUCCCGGGGGUGUGGUACUAGCAGGCUCGGGUGGUCGCACUGCGCAGACGCCAGGCGGGCCGCGCCUCCUGCCUCGGCGCUCCUGGCGCGGGGCCUGCUGGGACUUGUAGUCCUGCGGGCGCGCUGCGCGGGAGCUGGAGAGGCGCGCGGGCUGCCUGAGUCGGAAACCUGCUCCAGGACUCGCACCCAGACUGAAGGCGGGCGCGGCCCGCGGAGGCUAGAGGCGCCGGGCUGCGAGGGGCAGCGAGCGAAUCAAAGGCAGCCCGGCCGAGCCGGAGCCCCCAGUCCCGGGGCCGGGUUCCGUCUGGCCCGUUUCCCGCCUUGCCGAGAGCUGGGAAAGCGAAAUCCACAGGCCACGGCGGCGGCGGGCGAAGCGCCGCGUUCUGGCAGGAGCCGGUGCGGGUCCUGGCCGGCCCUCGGGGCGUGCUCGAGUGGGAGGAAGGUCAGCCCGGCAGGCUGCACACGCUGAGGCGGGCCAGUGUGCGCCGUCUCACACGCACACGCGCCGGGACGCUGACAAAGGUGUACUUUGUUUCCUCCGAGGGCGCGAAGGGGUCUGCGAGUCGGCGGCGACCCGGAGCUGGUGGUCGCGUUGGUGGCCGCGCGGUCCGAGCGCCCUCUGGUGGCCGCGGGGUGCCUGCGCGGUGGCGAGUCCACGCGGACCGCGCCCCCCAGGGCUCGGGACCGCCCCCGCGCGCCUGGCGGGCACUCGGGGGAUCUGGGCGUGGGAAGCGGCUCGUUCUGCUAAUAAAGUGCCUUCCGGCAAGCGGAGCCCGUAAAUUUACGACCCUCAUUACAGUCAAACAUUCCCAUUUAUAAGAAGGUUAAACGGAAUCGCCCGAGUCGGCUGUGGAGAGCGGUAAUGAGUAACCGCGCGGAGCCCGGGUUGGAAAUACGUUUUCAAAUUACGGGUUUAUCUUGGGGCUCUGAGCGCCUUUCCGCAGUAUGCUCAGAACAUGACAUUUCAGACCUACUCUCUGCCUCUCUUCCUUGCUUUCUUUGAAGGUCCCACUCCUGGGAAAUGGGCCCUCGGUCACCCGUGGUCUUCGAGUCCUACGGCCUGGGGGAGGGGCGGCUGGCCCCAAGGAACAAUGAAGCCUUUGCCUCCUCUGCAUCCUGCGGGCCGGAUAUCCGUUCAGAAGCCGGCCCUGGGCCUUCUCCUCCAAAAAGGAGGAAACCUGUCCCCAGGGCUGCCAGGAAGUGGCAGGGAGGUGCUGGGAGAAACGGAGAACAAUUACUACGCUUGGGAGAAUGUACAGAAAUUAAUAGACUUUCGAAGCCUUGGAAACCAGAAUGGUCGCGGAUUUUAACAGCACAGAACUGUCUUGUUCCUAUAUGAUGCCAUAUACUCACCACCACCACCACCACUUCCUGGUGUGUGGAUUUGGAUCUGAAACAGACCCAGAGAGACUUAAGUGCGUUCUGCAUGGUCAUUCAGCAAGUGAAAGCCUAUCUACUUUCUCUGCUACAUGAGUUUACCUAUGGGCCAAGCACUGCAGCGAAUACAAUGGCAAUUUCCCGGGAGAACUUGCCACUGGCAAGGAAAGCAAACUAGAAGACAAACCAUUGAGAUGAAAUGGAAUAAGGACCAUUUUGGACACAUACAGAAGGACUUUGGAAACAAACAAGAGUGAUUUCAAGCACCUAGAAGAUUCCAAGAGAGGAGAAAUGAGAGCUGUAGGUGGGAUUGGAAAUAUUUUCAGUCACAUUGCCUCCUGAGAAGCCCCUUCAUCGAUAUAGUCCCAGUGGUUACCAAAUUUGACAUUAAAAAUGUUGC